ACACUUACCUGGCAGGGAUGAUGCCAUGAUCACCAAGGUGAUUUGGCUCAUGCAUUGUACUCCAGAUAUGCUGACCCUCGCGGUUUUGCCAAAUGUGGAAAUCUCAACUUCAUGAUUUGUGGUAGUGGCUAACUUCAUUUGCACUAUCCCC
rnacentral:snRNA from 1 species